AUUGAACGCUGGCGGCAGGCUUAACACAUGCAAGUCGAGCGGGGUGAUGGUGCUUGCACUAUCACUUAGCGGCGGACGGGUGAGUAAUGCUUAGGAAUCUGCCUAUUAGUGGGGGACAACAUCUCGAAAGGGAUGCUAAUACCGCAUACGUCCUACGGGAGAAAGCAGGGGAUCACUUGUGACCUUGCGCUAAUAGAUGAGCCUAGGUCGGAUUAGCUAGUUGGUGGGGUAAAGGCCUACCAAGGCGACGAUCUGUAGCGGGUCUGAGAGGAUGGUCCGCCACACUGGGGCUGAGACAGGGCACAGACUCCGACGGGAGGCAGCAGUGGGGAAUAUUGGACAAUGGGGGGAACCCUGAUCCAGCCAUGCCGCGUGUGUGAAGAAGGCCUUAUGGUUGUAAAGCACUUUAAGCGAGGAGGAGGCUCUUUUGGUUAAUACCCAAGAUGAGUGGACGUUACUCGCAGAAUAAGCACCGGCUAACUCUGUGCCAGCCGCCGCCGUAA
rnacentral:rRNA from 1 species